UUAAUGAGAGUUUGAUCCUGGCUCAGGACGAACGCUGGCGGCGUGCCUAAUACAUGCAAGUAGAACGCUGAAGGAGGAGCUUGCUUCUCUGGAUGAGUUGCGAACGGGUGAGUAACGCGUAGGUAACCUGCCUGGUAGCGGGGGAUAACUAUUGGAAACGAUAGCUAAUACCGCAUAAGAGUGGAUGUUGCAUGACAUUUGCUUAAAAGGUGCACUUGCAUCACUACCAGAUGGACCUGCGUUGUAUUAGCUAGUUGGUGGGGUAAGGGCUCACCAAGGCGACGAUACAUAGCCGACCUGAGAGGGUGAUCGGCCACACUGGGACUGAGACACGGCCCAGACUCCUACGGGAGGCAGCAGUAGGGAAUCUUCGGCAAUGGACGGAAGUCUGACCGAGCAACGCCGCGUGAGUGAAGAAGGUUUUCGGAUCGUAAAGCUCUGUUGUAAGAGAAGAACGAGUGUGAGAGUGGAAAGUUCACACUGUGACGGUAUCUUACCAGAAAGGGACGGCUAACUACGUGCCAGCAGCCGCGGUAAUACGUAGGUCCCGAGCGUUGUCCGGAUUUAUUGGGCGUAAAGCGAGCGCAGGCGGUUAGAUAAGUCUGAAGUUAAAGGCUGUGGCUUAACCAUAGUAGGCUUUGGAAACUGUUUAACUUGAGUGCAAGAGGGGAGAGUGGAAUUCCAUGUGUAGCGGUGAAAUGCGUAGAUAUAUGGAGGAACACCGGUGGCGAAAGCGGCUCUCUGGCUUGUAACUGACGCUGAGGCUCGAAAGCGUGGGGAGCAAACAGGAUUAGAUACCCUGGUAGUCCACGCUGUAAACGAUGAGUGCUAGGUGUUAGACCCUUUCCGGGGUUUAGUGCCGUAGCUAACGCAUUAAGCACUCCGCCUGGGGAGUACGACCGCAAGGUUGAAACUCAAAGGAAUUGACGGGGGCCCGCACAAGCGGUGGAGCAUGUGGUUUAAUUCGAAGCAACGCGAAGAACCUUACCAGGUCUUGACAUCCCUCUGACCGCUCUAGAGAUAGAGUUUUCCUUCGGGACAGAGGUGACAGGUGGUGCAUGGUUGUCGUCAGCUCGUGUCGUGAGAUGUUGGGUUAAGUCCCGCAAACGAGCGCAACCCCUAUUGUUAGUUGCCAUCAUUUAGUUGGGCACUCUAGCGAGACUGCCGGUAAUAAACCGGAGGAAGGUGGGGAUGACGUCAAAUCAUCAUGCCCCUUAUGACCUGGGCUACACACGUGCUACAAUGGCUGGUACAACGAGUCGCAAGCCGGUGACGGCAAGCUAAUCUCUUAAAGCCAGUCUCAGUUCGGAUUGUAGGCUGCAACUCGCCUACAUGAAGUCGGAAUCGCUAGUAAUCGCGGAUCAGCACGCCGCGGUGAAUACGUUCCCGGGCCUUGUACACACCGCCCGUCACACCACGAGAGUUUGUAACACCCGAAGUCGGUGAGGUAACCGUAAGGAGCCAGCCGCCUAAGGUGGGAUAGAUGAUUGGGGUGAAGUCGUAACAAGGUAGCCGUAUCGGAAGGUGCGGCUGGAUCACCUCCUUUCUAAGGA
rnacentral:rRNA from 1 species